CCAGGCUGACAGUAUAUAGCCUAAGUCUCCUAAACCAGAGCCAUAGUGUAGGUCUAUAUGGUUCUGUCCUAAACUCAAGACAGCAUCUGAUUGCCCAGCUUUCUCUGAAUGGUCUUCAUCAAGAGGGCUGAAUGACAAUUUUCCUGUGUGUAUCAAGAAUGGUCCACCACCCAAAGGACCUCCAGCCAACUUGACAACUGUGGGAAGCAUUGGAGUCAACAUGGGCCAGCAUCCUUGUCGAAGGCUUUCAACACCUUGCCCCAACAAAGGCUGUUCUGAGGUUGAGAUCAUCCAUGAGUUCAUGAUGGUGGUGUUCGUGAUCUCCGUCGUGUACAAAGAUGUCAUCCAGAGGGUGAUCGGCCAG